rnacentral:misc_RNA from 1 species
UACGGAGGGUGCGAGCGUUAAUCGGAAUUACUGGGCGUAAAGCGUGCGUAGGCGGUUUGUUAAGUCCGUUGUGAAAGCCCUGGGCUCAACCUGGGAACUGCAGUGGAUACUGGCAAGCUAGAGUGCGGUAGAGGAGGGUGGAAUUCCCGGUGUAGCGGUGAAAUGCGUAGAGAUCGGGAGGAACAUCGAUGGCGAAGGCAGCCCUCUGGACCAGCACUGACGCUGAGGCACGAAAGCGUGGGGAGCAAACAGG